UACGUAGGGGGCAAGCGUUGUCCGGAUUUAUUGGGCGUAAAGAGCGUGUAGGCGGCCAGGUAGGUCCGCUGUGAAAACUCGAGGCUCAACCUCGAGAUGUCGGCGGAAACCAUCUGGCUAGAGUCCGGAAGAGGAGAGUGGAAUUCCUGGUGUAGCGGUGAAAUGCGCAGAUAUCAGGAAGAACACCCGUGGCGAAGGCGGCUCUCUGGGACGGUACUGACGCUGAGACGCGAAAGCUAGGGGAGCGAAUGGG
rnacentral:rRNA from 1 species